UUAGAGAGAGUUUCGGAAAUU
rnacentral:piRNA from 1 species